rnacentral:tRNA from 1 species
CGGGGAGUAGCGCAGCCUGGUAGCGCACCUGAAUGGGGUUCAGGGGGUCGCAGGUUCGAAUCCUGUCUCCCCGA